UGUAGUCAAUCCCUCCAUCGUCACCACAGCCCCGGUCCGCUGCCUCCUCCUUCUCUCGUCAGCCACCGCCGCACGAACCUCCCGAGUUGGGGCGGGCACAGAAGGCCGUGGCGAGUCUGGGACCGCAUCCGUCCUCCGUCCCUCGUCGGCCGCCGCUACUGCUUAUCCUCUCUCCUGUCCUGGCCUUGUCUCCUGCGACUGGUGGUGGAAAGCCAUGGGUGGUGGAGAGGAGGAAGGGAGGUAGGGGAACAACGGAGAAGGGGAUGGACGGGGGCUUCACUCCCAGAUUUUGUGCCCCGAGCCAUGGAUGGCUGAGAGAAGGAAGUGGCCUACGCUCCUUUCUCAGGUUUUUUGCAAUGGUGCUUCUCCGCUGGAUGGGUACAGCUGGUUGAGGUUAAUUUUGUUGUCGUCUUUCCUUCGUACGUCAUCGCAACAUUCUCACUUUCGCAUUGAAGGAAAGACGUUGUGGAUGAUGAUAUUAUGAAUACAACUCCUGUCAACAUUGAAGAGGUGUCAGAUAGGCAAGUCUACAGGCAUGUGGUUAGAGAAGCACCUUGAAAAGAUCAGGACGUAUUCCUGGAUUGGCAAUUAUGACAGGAUGGUACGUGUGACAGUGGGAUGCAUCAGAGUUAUAAUAUUCAUGUAAUUACUAUGUAUUUCCACCCUUUUUGUUUCUAGCUGAUACAUAGCUUUUGGUACAUGCAUCAAUCCAGGUUCUUUGUCCGAUGCUCUAAAGAUAUGUGUGCAGUGUGCUUGCUUAGUUAUGUUUCUCUAAAUACUUUCUUUUUUGUACCAAUAUCAUGUUAACUGAAAAUUCGCAGUAUAUAUUCCAAAGAUUUUUGGUGGAAUUUCCACUAAGGUUU